AGUGAGCUGAACAAUCGCGUGCAUCCCUUGCGGGAUGUAUGAGGAAAGUCCGAGCAUCGCAGGGCGGGAUAACGGCUAACGGCCGCCGAGGGUGACCUCAGGGAAAGUGCAACAGAGAGAUACCGCCUGCGCACGCGCAGGUAAGGGUGGAAAGGCGAGGUAAGAGCUCACCGGCGCACAGGAGACUGUGCGGCCAUGUAAACCCUAUCCGAUGCAACGCCGACUGAAACGAUACACCGGCCCGGUGUGUUUCGACGGGCGGCUUGAGCUGUCUGGCAACAGGCAGUCGAGAUAGAUGAUUGUUCACGACAGAACUCGGCUUACAGGCUCACUCAU
rnacentral:RNase_P_RNA from 1 species